AAUCUUCCGCAAUGGACGAAAGUCUGACGGAGCAACGCCGCGAGAGUGAUGAAGGACUUCGGAACGUAAAACACUGUUGUUAGAGAAGAAUAAGUAUCGUUAGAAUAGGGCGGUACCUUGACGGUACCUAACCAGAAAGCCAUGGCUAAAUCCGUGCCACCAGCCGCGGUAAUACGUAGGUGCCAAGCGUUAUCCGGAAUUGUUUGGCGUAAAGCGCGCGCAUGCGAUUUCUUAAGUCUGAUGUCAAAGCCCACGGUUCAACCGUGGAGGGUCAUUGGAAACUGGGAAGCUUGAGUGCAGAAGAGGAGAGUGGAAUUCCAUGUGUAGCGGUAAAAUGCGUAGAGAUAUGGAGAAACACCAGUGGCAAAGGCGACUCUCUGGUCUGCAACUGACGCUGAGGCGCGAAAUCGUGGGAAGCGAACA
rnacentral:rRNA from 1 species